UACAAAAUGGCAUCAAUGUAUAUUGACAGGCAGGUAGUGCCAUUUUAUUUCAUAGAAGUGCAAUUACUCAUGAAUCGAAGAUAAAACACUAGACUUGCCUAGAAUGAGCUAACACAAUAAAUAUGUGUGCACAAGCAAUUUCUGUAAACACUAAUGGAAAUAUAAAAGUGACACAUAGAUACUGAUAUUGCUGUAGAAGGUGAAUUCACUGUUCCUUGGAGGCUGUGUUGUGAGGAGAGAACCUGUAUGUUUUGUUCAGCCAUGAGAAGCCCUUAUACUGUGUCUCUUGUGUAUUGGUUUUCACAUGGCAUGGCUUGACUGGGGAUGCUGCAGUGAGCAGGUGACUGCAGCUGUGAUUUGAAUCAGAUGUUGGCGAUCUUGAAAACUAACACUUGGGUACAUUGAACCUCCUUGUGUCUCAGGACACUUGGUUAGUUGGCAGCAAAGUAGUUACUGGAAUUAUUGUAGCUGGGAAGCCUUAUAGCCCAUUCCCUAAAGACAAAGGUAGUCUUAGUCUGAGGGAGUUCAGCACCACUAAUUUUGUCUUAUGCUUGUUGGCUACAGAGAGGAAGAACUGACAGAUUUGAAAUAAAGAUGGCUAGGAUGACUUCAUGUAGGAGGUUACUGGUGGUAGUGAAACUGCAGCUAGACAUGAUGAUCUUACUGAAUUCAGGGCAGGUUAAGAAGAUUCAGCCCUGUCUGAAUUCAGUCAGCUUUCAUGACUGA